rnacentral:rRNA from 3 species
UGGGGAAUAUUGCACAAUGGGGGAAACCCUGAUGCAGCAACGCCGCGUGAGUGAUGACGGCCUUCGGGUUGUAAAGCUCUGUCUUCAGGGACGAUAAUGACGGUACCUGAGGAGGAAGCCACGGCUAACUACGUGCCAGCAGCCGCGGUAAUACGUAGGUGGCGAGCGUUGUCCGGAUUUACUGGGCGUAAAGGGAGCGUAGGCGGAUUUUUAAGUGAGAUGUGAAAUACUCGGGCUUAACCUGAGUGCUGCAUUUCAAACUGGAAGUCUAGAGUGCAGGAGAGGAGAAGGGAAUUCCUAGUGUAGCGGUGAAAUGCGUAGAGAUUAGGAAGAACACCAGUGGCGAAGGCGCUUCUCUGGACUGUAACUGACGCUGAGGCUCGAAAGCGUGGGGAGCAAACAGG